rnacentral:rRNA from 1 species
AUCUUUUCUUGUUAUUAAUUUGAGAUCUGACCUGCCCAAUGAUUUAUUUAAUGGCCGCGGUAUUUUAACCGUGCAAAGGUAGCAUAAUCAUUAGCCUAUUGAUUGUGGGCUUGUAUGAAUGGUUGGACGAAAUAUUUACUGUCUCAUUUUAUUUAUUAUAAUUUAAUUUUUGGGUUAAAAAGCUCAAAUUUUUUUAGAGGACGAGAAGACCCUAUAGAUCUUUAUAUUUUAUAUUAAAUAAAUUUUUGGUUUAUUUUUUGUUUAUUUUUUAUAUUUAUUAUUUUGUUGGGGUGACAUGGGGAAUUAUUUAACUCUUUAUUAUUUUACUCAUUUAUUUAUGUUUAUUUGACCUUUUAUUAUUGUUAUUAGAUUUAGAUACCUUAGGGAUAACAGCGUUAUUUUCUUUGAGAGUUCUUAUCGACAAGUAAGAUUGCGACCUCGAUGUUGGAUUAAGAUUAUUAUCAGGUGAAGUAGCUUGAUAAUUAGGUCUGUUCGACCUUUAAAUUCUUACAUGAUCU